rnacentral:rRNA from 1 species
UACGAAGGGGGCUAGCGUUGUUCGGAAUUACUGGGCGUAAAGCGCGCGCAGGCGGCUAUCCAAGUCAGUGGUGAAAGCCCGGAGCUCAACUCCGGAACUGCCAUUGAAACUGUUUAGCUUGAGGACGAGAGAGGUGAGUGGAAUUCCCAGUGUAGAGGUGAAAUUCGUAGAUAUUGGGAAGAACACCGGGUGGCGAAGGCGGCUCACUG